rnacentral:rRNA from 1 species
GACGAACGCUGGCGGCGUGCUUAACACAUGCAAGUCGAACGGAAAGGCCCCUUUGUGGGUACUCGAGUGGCGAACGGGUGAGUAACACGUGAGUAACCUGCCCUUGACUUCGGGAUAACUUCAGGAAACUGGGGCUAAUACUGGAUAGGAAUCCUUGCUGCAUGGUGGGGGUUGGAAAGCUUCGGCGGUUUUGGAUGGACUCGCGGCUUAUCAGCUUGUUGGUGGGGUAGUGGCUUACCAAGGCUUUGACGGGUAGCCGGCCUGAGAGGGCGACCGGCCACAUUGGGACUGAGAUACGGCCCAGACUCCUACGGGAGGCAGCAGUGGGGAAUAUUGCACAAUGGGCGGAAGCCUGAUGCAGCAACGCCGCGUGCGGGAUGACGGCCUUCGGGUUGUAAACCGCUUUCAGCAGGGGCGAAGCUUGUGGUGACGGUACCUGCAGAAGAAGCACCGGCUAACUACGUG